AACAAACGCUGGAGGCGUGCCUAAUACAUGCAAGUCGAACGGGGAAAGCUUUCGGGUGAGUACUAGUGGCGCACGGGUGAGGAACGCGUGGAUAAUCUGCCUUAGAGUGGGGGAUAACUAGUCGAAAGAUUAGCUAAUACCGCAUAAGACCACAGGAGCUGCGGCUCUAGGGGUCAAAGGUUUUUCGCUCUAAGAUGAGUCCGCGUAAGAUUAGCUAGUUGGUGAGGUAACGGCUCACCAAGGCGACGAUCUUUAACUGGUCUGAGAGGAUGAUCAGUCACACGGGAACUGAGACACGGUCCAGACUCCUACGGGAGGCAGCAGUAGGGAAUAUUGCACAAUGGAGGAAACUCUGAUGCAGCGACGACGCGUGAGUGAUGAAGGCCUUCGGGUCGUAAAGCUCUGUCGCAGGGGAAUAACACAAUGAAUGUACCCUGUAAGAAAGGAUCGGCUAACUUCGUGCCAGCAGCCGCCGUAACAC
rnacentral:rRNA from 1 species